UGUGCACGUUUAGCGGCAGUUUGAGGGGGAGGGGGUGCGAUGAAGUCCCCCCCGUACGCGCCGCUUUUCGUGAGGUAAUUUUUGUGUGAAAAGCCGCUGAAAAGGGUUCGUUUAAAACCAGCUGGAAAACCUCGAGUACCUUAGAAGGGCCCCUCCAGGACCAGCCCCUGUGAAAAAGCAGCUUUUGAGGUAUUUUCAUGUAGAAAACGUGAACUUUGGCCAUGUCAGAGUUUCUAAAAUUAUUUUAAAUUUAAAAUUUUGACUUAAACCAGCUGCAAAUUGGCUGAUUAUUGCUGCAAAAAAUAUAAUUGAGCUAAAUUUUCCCUAAAUUCACGUUAUUUGGGGGGAGAGCUUUUCCAAUAGCUGAAAUGAUGGGGGGGAAAUUACAUUUGAAAAUCUUAAGAGUGGAAUAACACAGAAAAUAAUUAAUAACAAUAAGGAAAUAGUUUCUCCCGAAGGAAACGCCCCGAAAAUGUCGGAACAGCUCUUCCCACACCCCCAAAAUGCCUCAUUAACUUCGUCAGCAGCUUUAAUUAGCCUCAGAGCAGCUUUAAUGAAUGAUAAUUAGAGGGGUUGGGGAGAGGGGGUUGUCCCCUCCCUUCCAGCAUUUUUGGGGUGUCAUUUCCUGCCCGGAAACGCCUCAAAAUGCCUAAAAAAUGACUAAAAAAUUCAUUAAAAUAAUGGGUUUUAGUCCCUUUAUUGAAAACAGGGACUUCCAUGACUCGGCAUGGCCUGAAGUGGGGUGAAACACCGAGAUUUUGAUGCAUUUCUGUCGGAAAUAAAAGAAAUAAAGAUGGUAGUUCAAGCUGUGCUGGUCACGGGUGAAAAAAAAAAAAAAAGGGUUAUAAAAUGGUCGCUGGGGGUUUUGGGGGAAUAAAAAAUCGGUGAAAAUUGGGGGGUUUCAGGUCUGUGACCCCUAAAGAAGUUUUUUUUUCCCCCCCUCAAGAUUUGUGACCCUUUCGAGGAGAAACGGCGCCUUUUUGGCAUCGGCCCAAGCCCGUGACGCAGCAAAAGCCAAAACGAGUGUAAAAUUAAAAAAAAAAAAAAAAAUUAAAAAAAGCUCUAAAACCACCCGGAAAGGUCGAAGCCGGGGAUUUUAGGGCAGAACUGGCCAAACUGAACGAAAAAUCGCUGUUAAAUUUAACCACUUUCGUGCUGGACCGCGUGGGCCUGCCAAAGGCCCACAGCCUGAUGGGGGGGAGGGGGGCGCAGUUCGUGAGGGAAAAAAAUCAAAGAAAAUGGUAAAAAAGGGGAAAUAAUGAGAAAAUAAGCUUUUUCACGCUGGGGGCGGUGAAUUUUGAGGGGUGACUUUGGGGGUGCUGCCCUUUUUUGGCGAUUUUAGGGACUAUUUUGUCGCCCCCGCGGGGGCGGGGCUGGGCCGUUUAUAAGGGAGGGCCCCGCGCCCGCAGCGCCCGGCCGAGAACCAGCCCCGGAACGGCCCCAAUUCGGCCCAAAAUCGCUCUAUUCUGAGCCCAAAGCUCUUAGAGCUGCUCGAUUUUAUACAAAAAAGCUCCUAUAAUGGCUUUAUUUUCUAUCGAGAGCUCCAAAAACGGCUUCACUGCCUACAAAAAGCUCUUAAAGCUGCGAAAUUUUAUAGAAAGAGCUUCUAAGGCUGCUUUAUUUCAUAAAAGCGGCUCAUAAAUCUUUAUUUAAAGAAAAGAGAUAAAAGCUGUUUCCUUUAAGGAAAACCGAGCUCUUAAAGCUGCUUGCUUUCAAGAAAGAUCCUUAAAUUGCGGCGAUUCCAGUAAUGGGAAAAGCCGGGGCCAGCCGGGGCACUUUUAAUUGAAAAAAUGAAUGAAAAACCUUAGAAAAGCUCCUAAAGCUGGUUUUUAUUUAAACCGAAGCUUCUGAUGCUGGUUUUUAAGAAAUCGCUGCUUUCAAAGCCGAUUUCUGGGAGAGAACGCAGCUCUCGCAGCUCUUUAAUUCUUAAAAUAUCGUAAUGUGAUAUUUUCGAAAAGCCGGAGCGAGCUGGGGCGGUUUUAAUUUUAAAAAAAGAGCUUUUUAAGCUGCUUUAAUUUAAAGAAGGAAAAAGCGCUUGAUACGCUAUUUUCUGCUAAAAAAGCUCCUAAAUUUAUUUUUUAAACAAAAGCUCCUAAAGCUUUAAAAAAUGUAGUUUUGUCCCCAAGCGGGGCCGGGCCGGGCAGCGCAGGCGGGGGCGGCCGGUUUGGGGUGAAAUGCGGCAUUUUCAGGCUCAGGAUGGAUUGAGAGGAGCCAAUUUUGAGGGAAGAACAGGAAAAUUGAAGAGUGAAGAUGGAAUCGGCAGGGAAAGGAAAGUUUUUCUUCGCAGUUGCCCCAUCUGGGGGGAAAAAAAGGACUUUUUGUUAAAAUGGCGGCAGUUGGGCAGGGGAGGAGCAGAGAGAAGAGAG